AAAAGCGUGCUACGGGCGUAUGGUGGAUGCCUUGGCGCAAAAAGUCGAUGAAGGACGUUGUAGACUGCGAUAAGCUUCGGGGAGUUGUCAAACAAGCGUUAGAACCCGGAGAUGUCCGAAUGGGGUAACCCCGCUGGAGUCAUGUCCAGUGACCGUACAGUGAAUACAUAGCUGUACAGGAGAGAACGUAGGGAAGUGAAACCUCUCAGUACCUACAGGAAAAGAAAACAUAAGUUUAUUCCCUCAGUAGUGGCGAGCGAACCGGGAUGAGUCUAAACUAAUAUUGUGUAAGAGCGAGUAGAUUCGAAAGUCGCGUUGCGACAAUUGAUGACGCGGACUCGUAGAUUGCUGUCCGUGCAAUAUUAGUGUUGUAAGAGCUAAUUGACUAAUCAGCAAGUUAGUCGGAGAGUCAAAAAUUGUUUAUCUAAUGGAAUAGAUCUGGAAAGGUCGACCAUAGAGCAUGACAGUUGCGUACAUUAAAGAUAUUCAACUCUCUUUUAGAUUUCUUAAGUACCACGAAAUAAGUGAAAGUUUGUGGGAAGCGGCCAAAACCACUUGGCAAGACUAAAUACUUUUUUGCGACCGAUAGUGAACAAGUUCCGAGAGGGAAAGGUGAAAAGUACCCCUGUUAGGGGAGUGAAAUAGUUACUGAAACCAUAUGCUUACAAACAGUCGAAGUCCCGCAAGGGAUAACGGCGUGCCUAUUGAAGAAUGACCAUGCGAGUCAGUUGUGUGCGGCAAGGUUAAACUGGAAACAGUGGAGCCGAAGCGAAAGCGAGUCUGAAUAGGGCGAUUUCAGUCGCAUGCACUGGACCCGAAUCCAAGUGAUCUAACCUCGACCAGAGUGAAGUUCCACGAAAGUGGAAUGGAGGCUCGAACUCUUUAAUGUUACAAAAUUAUGAGAUGAGUCGUGGUUAGCGGUAAUAUGCCAAACGAACUUGGUAAUAGCUGGUUCUCCUCGAAAUAGCUUUUGGGCUAGCGUUGCAAUUUAAUUUCUGGGGGUAGAGCACUUAUAGGAUCUUGGGCUCGAAAGGGUACCAUGUCCUGUAAAACUCCGAAUACCGGAAAGCACAUUGUAGCAGUUAGAACUAUGGGGCUAAGCUCAUAUGUUCGAGAGGGCAACAGCCCAGAUCGUCAGAUAAGGACCCUAAAUUUACCUGAGUGGCAAAGGAAGUGGAGUUUCUCAGACAGCUAGGAGGUUGGCUUAGAGGCAGCCAUCCUUUAAAAAGUGCGUAAAAGCUUACUAGUCUAGAGAUUCUGCGCUUAAGAUGUAACGGGGCUAAAGGUAAAUUCCGAAGCUGCGAAUAUACACAUACUUCGGUAUGUGGGUGUGGUAGAGGAGCGUUCCAUACAUGUUGACCUUAGCAGGUCAAACAUUGCUGUGAAGGUGACCCGUAAGGAGUUGCUGGAGCGUAUGGAAGUGAGAAUGCAUGGAUGAGUAGCGUAAAGCAGGUGAAAACCCUGCUCACCGAAUAUCUAAGGUUUCCAUGGCUAUGUCAGUCAACCAUGGGUUAGUCGAUCCUAAGUCGAGGCCGAAAGGCGUAGGCGAUGGAUAACAGGUUAAUAUUCCUGUACUACUAUAAUUUUCGAUGGAGUGAGUGAGUUGAAAAGGCGGGCUCCUUAAGGAUUGGAGUCUAAAUAGCGAGUUAGUUAUCGCAGGUAAAUCCACGAUAACGUUUCCUGUUUACAGGAUGAACGCAAGCUAUUAUGGAAAGGUGAUCGCAAGUGAUCCGAUCCGUCAGAUUAACUCUCCAGGAAAAGCUUCUAGAUCUACAACUUCGGUUGUAUAAAACGAACUAUGGUAAUCGUACCGCAAUCCGACACUGGUGGAUUGGUGUAAAUGCACCAAGGUGUACGAGUGAUGCGUUGUUAAGGAAUUCGGCAAAUUCACCCCGUAAGUUAGCGAUAAGGGGGGCUAUGCGUCGUCAGAUUUUUUCAGGCGGCGAUCAUAGUGGCACAGAAUAGGAGAGAGCGACUAGUUACCAAAACUACAGGCGCUUGCAAAUUCGUAAGAAGAUGUAUAAGUGCUGACGCCUGCCCAAUGCCAGAAGGUUAAGGAAGCGUGUUAUCGACUUUUACUGCACUUCGGUGCUUUAACAGUUGAAAAGCUUGCGACCGAAGCCCUGGUCAAUGGCGGCUGUAACUAUAACGGUCCUAAGGUAGCGUAAUACCUCGCCACUUAAUUAGUGGCUUGCAUGAAAGGCGUAACGACUCUCUCGCUGUCUCGACAGCGCGCUCGGCGAAAUUGAAAUGGCUGUGAAGAUGCGGCCUACCCGUACCAGGACAAAAAGACCCCGUGGAGCUUUACUGCAGCUUUGCAUUGAGAUAAUGCUCUAAUUGUAGAGCAUAGGUGGGAGACUAUGAAGCAUGAUCGUCAGGUUGUGCGGAGUCACCAGUGUAAUACCACCCUAUUAGUGUUUUAUUUCUCACCUUUGCUGUUACCCAGCAAGGAGACAGUGCACGGCGGGCAGUUUGACUGGGGCGGUUGCUUGCAAAAGAGUAACGCAAGCGUACAAAGGUCUCCUCAAUCCGGAUGGAAAUCGGAUGAAGAGUACAUAGGCAUAAGGAGGCUUUACUGUGAGGGAGACAUCCCGAGCAGUUACGAAAGUAGGUCUAAGUGACCCUUUGGCAGAAUGUGGAAUCGCCAUUGUUUAACGGAUAUAAGUUACCCCGGGGAUAACAGGCUGGUGGUGCCCGAUAGUUCAUAUUGACGGCACCGUUCGGCACCUCGAUGUCGGCUCGUCGCAUCCUGGGAGUGUAUAAGCUCCCAAGGGUUGGACUGUUCGUCCAUUAAAGCGGCACGUGAGCUGGGUUCAGACCGUCGUGAGCCAGGUCGGUCUCUAUCCGGUAUGGGCGUUGUAAAUUUGAGGGAAGUGGCUCCUAGUACGAAAGGAUCGGAGCGAGGUAAACCUCUGGUGUACCAGCUGUUCUACCAAGAGCAUUGCUGGGUAGCUAAGUUAUUUAGGGAUAAGCACUGAAAGCAUAUAAGUGCGAAGCCUGUCCCAAGAUUAGAUUUACUUGUUGUGUUCGCACAACGGAAGAUCCGUAGUAGACUACUACGUUGAUAGGCACCAGGUGUAAGUGCAGUGAUGCAUUGAGCCGAGGUGUACUAAUGGAUCAAAAGCUUUUUGAA
rnacentral:rRNA from 1 species